rnacentral:rRNA from 1 species
AUUGAACGCUGGCGGCAUGCCUUACACAUGCAAGUCGAACGGCAGCGGGCCCUUCGGGGUGCCGGCGAGUGGCGAACGGGUGAGUAAUGCAUCGGAACGUACCCGGGAGAGGGGGAUAACCGGCCGAAAGGCUGGCUAAUACCGCAUGAACUCGGAAGAGCAAAGCGGGGGACCUUCGGGCCUCGCGCUCUCGGAGCGGCCGAUGCCCGAUUAGGCUAGUUGGUGGGGUAAAGGCCCACCAAGGCGACGAUCGGUAGCGGGUCUGAGAGGACGAUCCGCCACACUGGGACUGAGACACGGCCCAGACUCCUACGGGAGGCAGCAGUGGGGAAUCUUGGACAAUGGGCGCAAGCCUGAUCCAGCAAUGCCGCGUGGGUGAAGAAGGCCUUCGGGUUGUAAAGCCCUUUCGGCGGGGAAGAAAUCGGUCAGGCGAAUAGUCUGGCCGGAUGACGGUACCCGCAGAAGAAGCACCGGCUAACUACGUG